GACGAACGCCGGCGGCGUGCUUAGCACAUGCAAGUCGAACGGAAAGGCCCUGCUUUUGUGGGGUGCUCGAGUGGCGAACGGGUGAGUAACACGUGAGUAACCUGCCCUUGACUUUGGGAUAACUUCAGGAAACUGGGGCUAAUACCGGAUAGGAGCUCCUGCUGCAUGGUGGGGGUUGGAAAGUUUCGGCGGUUGGGGAUGGACUCGCGGCUUAUCAGCUUGUUGGUGGGGUAGUGGCUUACCAAGGCUUUGACGGGUAGCCGGCCUGAGAGGGUGACCGGCCACAUUGGGACUGAGAUACGGCCCAGACUCCUACGGGAGGCAGCAGUGGGGAAUAUUGCACAAUGGGCGGAAGCCUGAUGCAGCAACGCCGCGUGCGGGAUGACGGCCUUCGGGUUGUAAACCGCUUUCGCCUGUGACGAAGCGUGAGUGACGGUAAUGGGUAAAGAAGCACCGGCUAACUACGUG
rnacentral:rRNA from 1 species